rnacentral:rRNA from 1 species
CACGUAGGGCGCAAGCGUUGUCCGGAAUUAUUGGGCGUAAAGAGCUCGUAGGCGGUCUGUUGCGUCCGCUGUGAAAACUCGGGGCUUAACCCCGAGCCUGCAGUGGAUACGGGCAGACUAGAGGUAGGUAGGGGAGAAUGGAAUUCCCGGUGUAGCGGUGAAGUGCGCAGAUAUCGGGAGGAACACCGGUGGCGAAGGCGGUUCUCUGGGCCUGUACUGACGCUGAGGAGCGAAAGCGUGGGGAGCGAACAGG